UCGAAGGUGGAAUCAAUAACUGGGGUGAAGUCGUAACAAGGUAGCCGUAUCGGAAGGUGCGGCUGGAUCACCUCCUUUCUAAGGAGA
rnacentral:rRNA from 1 species